GAGGUUUUAGCUUAAUUAAAGUUUCUGAUUUGCACUUUGAAGAUGCCGGAUAGAGUCCUGCAAACCUUA
rnacentral:tRNA from 1 species